rnacentral:rRNA from 1 species
GACAGAGGGUGCAAGCGUUAAUCGGAAUUAUUGGGCGUAAAGCGUACGUAGGCGGAUUGGUAAGUUGGAUGUGAAAUCCCUGGGCUUAACCUGGGAAUUGCAUUCAAUACUGCUAGUCUAGAGUACAGUAGAGGGAAGUGGAAUUUCCAGUGUAGCGGUGAAAUGCGUAGAUAUUGGAAAGAACAUCAGUGGCGAAGGCGACUUCCUGGACUGAUACUGACGCUCAGGUACGAAAGCGUGGGGAGCAAACAGG